rnacentral:rRNA from 1 species
CCUACGGGAGGCAGCAGUGGGGAAUCUUGCGCAAUGGGCGAAAGCCUGACGCAGCCAUGCCGCGUGAAUGAUGAAGGUCUUAGGAUUGUAAAAUUCUUUCACCGAGGACGAUAAUGACGGUACUCGGAGAAGAAGCCCCGGCUAACUUCGUGCCAGCAGCCGCGGUAAUACGAAGGGGGCUAGCGUUGCUCGGAAUUACUGGGCGUAAAGGGAGCGUAGGCGGAUAGUUUAGUCAGAGGUGAAAGCCCAGGGCUCAACCUUGGAAUUGCCUUUGAUACUGACUAUCUUGAGUACGGAAGAGGUAUGUGGAACUCCGAGUGUAGAGGUGAAAUUCGUAGAUAUUCGGAAGAACACCAGUGGCGAAGGCGACAUACUGGUCCGUUACUGACGCUGAGGCUCGAAAGCGUGGGGAGCAAACAGGAUUAGAUACCCUGGUAGUCCACGCUGUAAACGAUGAGUGCUAGUUGUCGGCAUGCAUGCAUGUCGGUGACGCGAGCUACGACAUAAGACACUCCGCCGUCGGGAGGUACGGUCGCGAGAAGUUAAACGUAACGAAGAAGUUAGACGGACGUGAGACGUGCCGACGGACGACGACGAGGGAGGAGG